UUGGAGGAUGAAAUUAGCAGAAUGAAGAAUCAGAGACAUGAAGCUGAAAUUGGUGAAAACUCAGCUGCAAGAAGUGUAAACAAAAGAGCACACCCUAAGUGUGUGUUGGUUGACUGGUCGGGUUCUGAUGAUAACAUUGGUGAGGGCCGUAUUCUUUCUUCUGAUCCUGAUGACAUAGUGAAUGACUGU